rnacentral:rRNA from 1 species
AUUGAACGCUGGCGGCAGGCCUAACACAUGCAAGUCGAGCGGAGCGGCGGACGGGUGAGUAAUGCCUAGGAAUCUGCCUGGUAGUGGGGGAUAACGUCCGGAAACGGGCGCUAAUACCGCAUACUAUCAGAUGAGCCUAGGUCGGAUUAGCUAGUUGGUGGGGUAAAGGCCUACCAAGGCGACGAUCCGUAACUGGUCUGCGAGGAUGAUCAGUCACAUUGGAACUGAGACACGGUCCAGACUCCGACGGUAGGAAGCAGUGGGGAAGAUUGGACAAUGGGCGAAAGCCUGACCCAGCCAUGCCGCGUGGGGGAUGAAGGCUUUCGGGUUGUAAACCUCGUUCGCUAUCGAACGGGUAGGUGGAGAAGAAGCGCCGGCUAACUACGUGCCAGCAGCCGCGGUAAUAC